rnacentral:rRNA from 1 species
GAUGAACGCUGGCGGCGUGCCUAAUACAUGCAAGUCGAGCGAACGGACGAGGAGCUUGCUUCUCUGAUGUUAGCGGCGGACGGGUGAGUAACACGUGGAUAACCUACCUAUAAGACUGGGAUAACUUCGGGAAACCGGAGCUAAUACCGGAUAAUAUAUUGAACCGCAUGGUUCAAUAGUGAAAGACGGUCUUGCUGUCACUUAUAGAUGGAUCCGCGCUGCAUUAGCUAGUUGGUAAGGUAACGGCUUACCAAGGCAACGAUGCGUAGCCGACCUGAGAGGGUGAUCGGCCACACUGGAACUGAGACACGGUCCAGACGCCUACGGGAGGCAGCAGUAGGGAAUAUUUCGCAAUGGGCGAAAGCCUGACGGAGCAACGCCGCGUGAGUGAUGAAGGUCUUCGGAUCGUAAAACUCUGUUAUUAGGGAAGAACAAAUGUGUAAGUAAAUAUGCACGUCUUGACGGUACCUAAUCAGAAAGCCACGGCUAACUACGUG